rnacentral:rRNA from 1 species
UACGAAGGGGCUAGCGUUGCUCGGAAUCACUGGGCGUAAAGCGCACGUAGGCCGAUUGUUAAGUCAGGGGUGAAAUCCUGGAGCUCAACUCCAGAACUGCCCUUGAUACUGACGGUCUCGAGUCCGGGAGAGGUGAGUGGAACUGCGAGUGUAGAGGUGAAAUUCGUAGAUAUUCGCAAGAACACCAGUGGCGAAGGCGGCUCACUGGCCCGGUACUGACGCUGAGGUGCGAAAGCGUGGGAGCGAUCCGG